AUGUGGAGAUAGUAUGAUUGACUCGCUCAAUCAAUGGGUUAAUCGACUCACUCGAUCAAUGAACGAAACAAGGAUGUUGAACUUAUCAACAAACUUAAUUCGCAGAUUCAAAUAGGCCUAAGAGACUCACUCACUUAAGACUAAUGAACAAACGACAAAGACUCAAACUUUGACAAGAAGAAAAUGUUCUUAUUACUUUAAUAUGAUCAAGGGUGACUUUUACAAAGAAAUGACUUGAGCUUAUAUAGGCUCGACUCUAGGUUUGGUGCAACAGUCUAAUGACUCAAAAUAGGAAAGCAAUACACGAAAUAAAUCAAAGAAAUCAAG
rnacentral:lncRNA from 1 species